AACGAACGCUGGUGGCAUGCCUAAUACAUGCAAAUCGAACGAGAAAGCACUUCGGUGUGAGUACAGUGGCGCACGGGUGAGUAACGCGUAGAUGACGUGCCGGUUAUGGGGGACAACAGCGGGAAACCGCUGCUAAUACCGCAUAAGCUAAGUGAAAUUGAAAAAGCUUAGGAAAGGGGCUUCGGUCCUGCUAAUUGAUCGGUCUGCGUGACAUUAGCUUGUUGGUGGGGUAAUGGCCUACCAAGGCUACGAUGUCUAGCUGGUCUGAGAGGAUGAUCAGUCACACUGGAACUGAGACACGGUCCAGACUCCUACGGGAGGCAGCAGUAGGGAAUAUUGCGCAAUGGGGGAAACCCUGACGCAGCAAUGCCACGUGAGUGAGGAAGGCCUUCGGGUUGUAAAGCUCUGUCCUAUAGGAAGAACGGCUUUGGGUAACGCCAAAGUUUGACGGUACUAUAGAAGAAAGCACCGGCUAACUCCGUG
rnacentral:rRNA from 1 species